rnacentral:rRNA from 1 species
AAUAGAUACCCGGUAGUCCACCCCGUAAACGUUGGAACUAGUUGUGGGUCCUUUCCACGGAUUCCGUGACGCAGCUAACGCAUUAAGUUCCCCGCCUGGGGAGUACGGCCGCAAGGCUAAAACUCAAAGGAAUUGACGGGGACCCGCACAAGCGGCGGAGCAUGCGGAUUAAUUCGAUGCAACGCGAAGAACCUUACCAAGGCUUGACAUACACCGGAAACGGCCAGAGAUGGUCGCCCCGCAAGGUCGGUGUACGGGUGGUGCAUGGUUGUCGUCAGCUCGUGUCGUGAGAUGUUGGGUUAAGUCCCGCAACGAGCGCAACCCUCGUUCUAUGUUGCCAGCACGUAAUGGUGGGAACUCAUGGGAUACUGCCGGGGUCAACUCGGAGGAAGGUGGGGAUGACGUCAAAUCAUCAUGCCCCUUAUGUCUUGGGCUUCACGCAUGCUACAAUGGCCGGUACAAAGGGCUGCAAUACCGUGAGGUGGAGCGAAUCCCAAAAGCCGGUCCCAGUUCGGAUUGAGGUCUGCAACUCGACCUCAUGAAGUCGG